rnacentral:rRNA from 1 species
AUGGCGGAUUCAAGGAACAAGUUUGCACAACUGGAUGAAGACACACCCUUUGGACGUCACUUGAAGGAAGUCACUAAGUACCUGAACAUCGGAAUAACAAGCUUCACCGGGACUUACAACGCCACUUUACCAGAAGAGGAGCGCUGGAUGAUUCAAGUUCAAGUUCCAGGAAGGACGUUCUUGCCAACCACUAAGCCCAUAGAAUUUUCUUUUGAAGCACCCACCUGGAGUCUAGGCAAGAGCAUGGCAGCCCACAUUACCAUGGGAAGCAUUGGAGAAGUCUACCACAAGGAUCUUAAGGACACUAUCUAUCAGAUAUGUGGGCGUCUAGAUGAGCAAUGGGAGAUGAUCAGCACCAAGAAGGACAGAUCCAUUGCAGCUUUCAUCCAGGAGUUAAACCAACACAUUUGA